UGAGGAAUUUUGCGCAACGGGGGAAACCCUGACGCAGCGACGCCGCGUGGAGGAUGAAGGCCUUCGGGUCGUAAACUCCUGUCAGAGGUGAAGAAUGCCCGCAAGGGUUUGACGGUAACCUCAGAGGAAGCCCCGGCUAACUACGUGCCAGCAGCCGCGGUAAUACGUAGGGGGCAAACGUUACUCGGAAUUACUGGGCGUAAAGGGUGCGUAGGCGGCUGGGAAAGUCAAGGAUGAAAUCCCGUGGCUCAACUGCGGAACGGUCCUUGAAACUACUCGGCUUGAGGAUAACCGAAGAGAACGGAAUUCCCGGUGGAGCGGUGAAAUGCGUAGAUAUCGGGAGGAACACCUGGGGCGAAAGCGGUUCUCUAGACUACUCCUGACGCUGAGGCACGAAAGCUAGGGGAGCAAACGG
rnacentral:rRNA from 1 species